rnacentral:rRNA from 1 species
UGCACGUCGAGCGGCAGCGNGAAAGUAGCUUGCUACUUUUGCCGGGAGNGGCGGACGGGUGAGUAAUGCCUGGGGAUCUGCCCAGNNGAGGGGGAUAACUACUGGAAACGGUAGCUAAUACCGCAUACGCCCUACGGGGGAAAGCAGGGGACCUUCGGGCCUUGCGCGAUUGGAUGAACCCAGGUGGGAUUAGCUAGUUGGUGAGGUAAUGGCUCACCAAGGCGACGAUCCCUAGCUGGUCUGAGAGGAUGAUCAGCCACACUGGAACUGAGACACGGUCCAGACUCCUACGGGAGGCAGCAGUGGGGAAUAUUGCACAAUGGGGGAAACCCUGAUGCAGCCAUGCCGCGUGUGUGAAGAAGGCCUUCGGGUUGUAAAGCACUUUCAGCGAGGAGGAAAGGUUGGUAGCUAAUAACUGCCAGCUGUGACGUUACUCGCAGAAGAAGCACCGGCUAACUCCGUGCCAGCAGCC